UCCACGUGGAGUACCGCAGGGGCUUCUCACUCUUUUAUAUCGUAUCCCAAAGCCCUAGACAUCAAAACUCCAUCGCCGGCGCCGAGACGGAAACCCUCUCGCAUUCCAGGCGGAGAUCGAUCAGCUCAACAGCCUCAGCACCAACACUGUCUACUCCAACAAGGAGAUCUUCCUCCGCGAGCUCAUCAGCAACUCCUCCCAUGUGAGCCAACAUCUCGAUUUGCAUCAUAUCUGCCUCUUUGAUGCGUUUUCGUAGCUCUCACAUGAACAAGAGCAAGCUCGAGGCCUGCACAGAGAUCAGGUCGCUGCCACCCCUCUCUAUAUCAUUAUCUGUCGAUUACGGAUGGAGAAGACUCACGUCGUCAACGAUCUAGAUAAGGAGAAAUGAGGAAAGAAAAUGCACCACAGUAAGUCUGAGAAGCACUCGUCGAGACAUCAUUCUGACCAGGAAGAGAGAAGAGAUAUUCACACAUUGAUGAAGAAUGAAGGAAAGUCUAACUGUACCAAACAGUCAUCAAGAGUUCAUUCAGAUACAGAGGAUGCUACUGACGGUGCAGAAAGGAAAAGAAACAGUGAUAGCCAUGAGAUCAGACUUUUCAAGAAGCAAGACUUUUCUGGAUGUGGCCCCAAAGAUUAUUUAUGGAAUUGAGAAAGAAGGUGGCUAUCGUUGAGCUUAUUAGUCACGAAGAAGUUCUGCAGUCCAUGAUAGCAAUGCAUUUAGGUGGUGAUACAUUGAGUUACGGAAAUAAUCUUUUACAAUGUACAUUCAAUCUUUUUCGGGACCUUGAUAAGAGCUUUGUGCACUUGACUACCUAUGUGAUUAUUUCUUAUAAAAAAAAUCCUAAGAAUCCUGCAUUAGCUAAAGGAA